rnacentral:lncRNA from 1 species
CACGUCCCAUGUGAACCAUAUCUCUCAUCCUCACCCCACAAUUAAUGUCACCUUAUCUAUAGUUAUUUACCUAUCCCAUUAAAAUCUAAAAUUCUCUAUAUCUAUACUAUAUAUAAAAGCACGUAUAUUAUAUAUAUAUAUAUAUAUACUAUAUAUAAAAGCACGUAUAUUCAAAUUUGGGUCUGUCGACAGACCCAUUUUUCGGCGGAAAAAUUAGCGCCCAUUUUUCUCUUUCCGUACGAAAAAUUUUAAAUAUAAGAAUAAAAAUAGAAAUAGAACAGCAAUGAAUACGUAAGUUAUCUAUAACAGAUUAUUGAUGUGAAAAUCCUAAAAUAUAAAUUUUUCUAUUUAAUUUCAAAAGUAAGUUUUCUAUAACAGAUUACGGGUGUGAAAAUCCUAUAAAAAUAUUUUCCUAUUUUAUUUUAAAAUAUCUUUUUUAGAUAUUAUCUUUUUAAUUUCAAAAUAUAUUUUCUUUUUAAGAUAACGGAUUUUAUUUUUCUAUUUAAUUUCAAAAAUUUAUUUCCUAACAGAUUUUAUUUUUCUAUUUAAUUUCAAAAGUAAUUUUUGCAUUAGAGAUUAUUGUUAAUUAUUUAUCAUUUAAAGCAUAUCUUUCUUAAUAGCGUGAUUUAUUAUUUUAAAUUUUUUAGAUACAUAUUUGGCAAUCAUAUAAAAUAUGGCCUAAAAUUAAAAAAAUAAUUUAAAAAAAUUAUAACUUUUUCUAAUAAUUAUUAUGUGCAUUUGCACGUACAUUUUACUAGUAUUCUCUAUAAA